GUGUAGCGCGGCCCCACAAGCAGCGCCACCUAGAGGCAUUUCGCAAUCAUUUGAGCGCAAACACACUGCACAUUCACACACGCACACACCCUCAGAUCGCGGCACUAAACAUGAUCAGCACUCUGCCUGGAUGUGUGGGGGUGCGUGUGUGAAUGUUCCUUGUGUUUGUGCUCAAAUAAUUUCAAAGUGUUUUACCAACUAGCCCAGCAACAAGUUCUGUUUACAUCUAGAAACAAAGCGGAGAACGAGAAGCACGAAGCCUCACGAAAGAGGAGCUUGUGAGCCAAGAAUAACAACUUGUGCAUCGAGGUGGAACUUCGGUUCAAUGCUAACAUAGCAAGACUCGAGAGCGAACUCAAUGAUGUGGUAGAUGCUUUCUCUGAAAAGGAAGAACGGGUCUGCACACUGGUGGAUGUUAUGAAGCACAUACAAGGCAACGUUGGGCACAGUCUGAUAAAUGAGACGGAAUUGCCUGGUGAUGAGCUUCAAAUAUCAGCGCCUCACAUUUACUGCACUCCUGCCAAAGUCUACGUUUUUCGUGCGCACGCCAAAGGGCUGGAACGCUCUCCGUGCCAGCACCCUGCACCACUCCACUUCGAUACUCUUCAAAGAAGACGUUGUAAAACUUGUGCUAUGUUAAUCUACUGCCCACCCCUCAUGUAAAACCCCUAAAUAGGGGCCUUUGAGGUAUUGGAAAUAAAUAAUAAAAUAAAUAUCCGAGACAUUGCCCGGAGAGCUUUGCAGUGAUUGAACUCACCUGUUCUAAACCAGCCAGCCUAAAAUAAAUACAAAGUAUAGCUGCCA